rnacentral:rRNA from 1 species
AGUGAACGCUGGCGGUAGGCCUAACACAUGCAAGUCGAACGGCAGCACAGUAAGAGCUUGCUCUUACGGGUGGCGAGUGGCGGACGGGUGAGGAAUACAUCGGAAUCUACUUUUUCGUGGGGGAUAACGUAGGGAAACUUACGCUAAUACCGCAUACGACCUACGGGUGAAAGCAGGGGAUCUUCGGACCUUGCGCGAUUGAAUGAGCCGAUGUCGGAUUAGCUAGUUGGCGGGGUAAAGGCCCACCAAGGCGACGAUCCGUAGCUGGUCUGAGAGGAUGAUCAGCCACACUGGAACUGAGACACGGUCCAGACUCCUACGGGAGGCAGCAGUGGGGAAUAUUGGACAAUGGGCGCAAGCCUGAUCCAGCCAUACCGCGUGGGUGAAGAAGGCAUUCGGGUUGUAAAGCCCUUUUGUUGGGAAAGAAAAGCAGCAGGUUAAUACCCCGCUGUUCUGACGGUACCAAAAGAAUAAGCACCGGCUAACUUCGUG